CAUCUAAAUGAUCAGUUUAUUGAAUUUUAGUAAUGUAAGUUGAGAUCAUGAAACAUACAAUCUAAUUCAAAAGAAGAAUCAUAGGUACCAAUUCAACACCAUUAGCACUACUUUCACAAUAGUGACACCCCACUUAUAACACUCUUUUUUGGGUCUCUGACUGUGAACAAGAUUGUGGAAGGUUGGUUGAGGUUAGGCCUAGGCAUUACGGUUAAGAAAUAACAGAUGCUAAUUAGUUAGUGGGGAAGUGAAGCUCAUGUUUAGGCCUUUUCAUAAUGUCUUUAUGCUAAAUAAAUUAAAUGAAGUAAACAGCCAUGGCUAUUGAACUACAGAAUACAUAAAAAUACAUUCUGUGAUUCACCUAUAAACAAAAGAGUAAAGCAGAAUGUGUCAAAUUUUCCAUAGCAGGUAAAGCAUAGAAAAAAAAUCUAGCUGAUAUAGUUGUUAUGUUUCAACAACAUAAAAUGAAAUUUGUAUAGGAAUACCUCAAAAAAG
rnacentral:lncRNA from 1 species